AUGAUCUGCCUAAGCUGGAACUGUCGGGGGUUUGGGAACCCCGAGGCAGUUCGCGAGCUUCGCAGCGUUGUGAAGCAAGAAGGCCCCGCUCUGGUCUUUGUCAUGGAAACAAAGAUCUGAGGGAAACAUGUUGAAAAGUUGCAGCAGACGCUAGGGUUUGAUGGUUGUUUUGCUAUGGACAGCGAUGGACUAAGUGGGGGCAUCGGCCUCUUUUGGUCUCGAGAUGUAACAGUGGAGCCCAAGUGUCGGAUAUAG
rnacentral:rRNA from 1 species